CCGGCGGGGCCCUGGUCUUCGUGGAGGCGGUGUCCAUCGGUUUUGGUGCCCUGGGCGUCUUCUCCGGCUCCGCGGUGCGGCCUCGCCCUCCACCAUGUACCAUAACAGCAGCCAGAAGCGGCACUGGACGUUCGGCAGUGAAGAACAGCUAACCCGACUGCGGGCCGACGCCAAUCGAAAAUUCAAAUGCAGAGCGGUGGCCAACCGGAAGCUUCUUCCAAAUGAUCCAGUCUUUCUUGAGCCCCAUGAAGAAAUGACACUCUGCAAGUACUAUGAGAAGAGAUUACUGGAAUUCUGUUCGGUGUUUAAACCAGUGAUGCCAAGAUCUGUUGUGGGUACAGCUUGUAUGUAUUUCAAGCGAUUCUAUCUUAAUAACUCAGUAAUGGAAUAUCACCCCCGGAUAAUAAUGCUCACUUGUGCCUUUCUAGCCUGCAAAGUAGAUGAAUUCAAUGUAUCUAGUCCACAAUUUGUUGGAAACCUUCGGGAGAGUCCUCAUGGACAGGAGAAGGCACUGGAACAGAUUUUGGAAUAUGAACUACUACUUAUACAGCAACUUAAUUUCCACCUUAUUGUCCACAAUCCUUAUAGGCCAUUUGAAGGCUUCCUUAUUGAUUUAAAGACACGUUAUCCCAUGUUGGAGAACCCGGAGAUUUUGAGGAAAACAGCUGAUGACUUUCUUAAUAGAGUGGCACUGACAGAUGCGUACCUUUUAUACACACCUUCCCAAAUCGCCCUGACGGCUAUUUUGUCUAGUGCCUCGAGAGCUGGAAUUACUCUGGAAAGUUAUUUAUCAGAAAGUCUUAUGCUGAAAGACAACAGAACUUCCUUGUCACAGUUACUAGAUAUAAUGAAAAGUAUGAGAAACUUGGUAAAAAAGUAUGAACCACCCAGAUCUGAAGAAGUUGCUAUUUUGAAACAAAAGUUAGAGAGAUGUCACUCUCCUGAGCUUGCACUUAAUGUGAUUACGAAGAAGAGGAAAGGGUAUGAAGAUGAUGACUAUGUCUCAAAGAAACCGAAACAUGAAGAGGAAGAAUGGACUGACGAUGACCUGUUAGAUUCUCUGUAACCAUUUUUAAAUUGAUGUCACUGCUAACUAAUCGAGAAGAAGGAAGCACACCUGACAUUUAACUUUAUUUUUAAAGUAUAAUGGGAAAACAUCAAAAUAGAUAUUUUUAAGGCUUGAGGUGUCUUCUUUCACUGUGGGAUGACAAGAAGACAUUACAUGAAAUGAGAUUUCUCAAAAGUGGAGAGAAGCUGCAGGUGAACAUGCUCCAGUGUAGUCCAGAAUAAGCGACAUUGGUUGCUAAACCCUGGAGAGAAUUGCAAACUGUCAGUUUAUCUCCUUUCCUUUCAGAUCGCAAAAUUCUGGCACCAGAGCAAGGUCCACAUCUAUCUCCCCAAAAUUUUCCACCCCAUCCCUAUAUAAAAAUUAAUGUUUGAGAGGUUUUAUUUCAAUAAUGAUUAGAUAGUUACUGUAAAGUAACCACCACCACACUUCACAUCCUAGUUUGAGGCAUAUAAUUUGAUGUAAAAAGCAAGAGAAUUUUUCUCCCGUUCGUUAUUAAAGGUAGAAGAGGAACGCUUUAAUGUUUCAGGCAGGAUUGAGAGACAUGUUGGUCAAGGGCUGGCUGAAGACCAAGAUAGGAUUAGUAGGAAUCAAAUUGCCUAAAGCUUGAGUCUGGUCCAUUUUACAUGCUGUGCCUAUCCUCUUCCUCCCUGCCGCUUCAAGGAAGAGCUCACAUAGGAAACGGCUGUGGUAGUUCAGUUGAAAAGCAGAAGCAUAAGGAGGGAAAAGAAAGUAAUAAGGCAGAUGAAAAGGGAAAGAACGAAACAAGCUGGCACGGUGAUGAUGGCUUAGGUAAGUAUCACUGCUGAACUGCCAUUGAAACUAUCAGGCCUAGCUCCCUCAAUACAAAGAGUGGUCUUUUAUAGCAAAAAACAAUAUUCAUCAAAAAUUGUUAAAUCCCUUGAUUAGAUACCUAGUAUUUGUAUUUUUUCCUGUAUUUUAUAUACCAAAGAGAAAAUUAAUAAAUUGCUCUUGCUUGGAAUCUACACAUAGUAAGUUAUUCAUUUCAGUGGGGAGAUCUUUUCCUAUACCUCUCGAUUCUUAAUUUACCCAUUUUGGUUACAAUUCUGUCCUGUACUUUUAAUAUGCCUCAUCUCUUCCACAUGAUAUGGGAAUAAGUUGU